rnacentral:rRNA from 1 species
GAUGAACGCUGGCGGCGUGCCUAACACAUGCAAGUCGAGCGAACGGACGAGAAGCUCGCUUCUCUGAUGUUAGCGGCGGACGGGUGAGUAACACGUGGAUCACCUACUUAUAAGACUGGGAUAACUUCGGGAAACCGGAGCUAAUACCGGAUAAUAUUUUGAACCGCAUGGAUCAAAAGUGAAAGACGGUCUUGCUGUCACUAAUAGAUGGAUCCGCGCUGCAUUAGCUAGUUGGUAAGGUAACGGCUUACCAAGGCAACGAUGCGUAGCCGACCUGAGAGGAUGAUCGGCCACACUGGAACUGAGACACGGUCCAGACUCCUACGGGAGGCAGCAGUAGGGAAUCUUCCGCAAUGGGCGAAAGCCUGACGGAGCAACGCCGCGUGAGUGAUGAAGGUCUUCGGAUCGUAAAACUCUUUUAUUAGGGAAGAACAUAUGUGUAAUUAACUGUGCACAUCUUGACGGUACCUAAUCAGAAAGCCACGGCUAACUACGUG